GUUGUAUGGUUAAGUGACUAAGCGUACACGGUGGAUGCCUUGGCAGUUGGAGGCGAUGAAGGACGUAUUAACUUGCGAUAAGCUUAGUCGAGCUAGUAAAAAGCACUUGAGACUARGAUUUCCGAAUGGGGAAACCCACCUGCUUGCAGGUAUCGUUAACUGAAUACAUAGGUUAACGAGGCGAACGCGGAGAACUGAAACAUCUAAGUACCCGUAGGAAAAGAAAUCAACCGAGAUUCCGGAAGUAGCGGCGAGCGAAACCGGAACAGCCCUUAAGCUUAUUAUGUGUUAAUGGAAGGCUCUGGAAAGUGCCACGAUACAGGGUGAUAGUCCCGUACAUGAAAAGACAUUUUAAGUGAAAUCGAGUAGGUCGGAGCACGUGAAACUUUGACUGAAUAUAGGUGGACCAUCAUCUAAGGCUAAAUACUCCCAACUGACCGAUAGUGAACCAGUACCGUGAGGGAAAGGCGAAAAGAACCCCUGUGAGGGGAGUGAAAUAGAACCUGAAACCGUGUACGUACAAGCAGUAGGAGCAGACUUGUUCUGUGACUGCGUACCUUUUGUAUAAUGGGUCAGCGACUUAUAUUUUGUAGCGAGGUUAACCGAAUAGGGUAGCCGUAGGGAAACCGAGUCUUAACUGGGCGACGAGUUGCAAGGUAUAGACCCGAAACCCGGUGAUCUAGCCAUGGGCAGGUUGAAGGUUGAGUAACAUCAACUGGAGGACCGAACCCACUAACGUUGAAAAGUUAGGGGAUGACCUGUGGCUAGGAGUGAAAGGCUAAUCAAACCGGGAGAUAGCUGGUUCUCCCCGAAAUCUAUUUAGGUAGAGCCUCGGACGAAUACUUACGGGGGUAGAGCACUGUUAAGGCUAGGGGGUCAUCCCGACUUACCAACC
rnacentral:rRNA from 1 species